AUGGCGACACUUCUCGCCUCCAUCUUACCCGCAGCCUGCUCCACCUCCGCCCCGGCGCUCCUCCUCCGCGCCUUCCCCCGCCUCCGCCUCCGCCGCCCCCUCGCCUCGCCGCCCCGCAUGUCCUCCUCCUCCGCCGCCGCCUCUCCCGCGCCGGCAGACGCCGCGGGAGGGGAGAGGCCCACGGCGGCGCCGUUCGGGUCCUGGAGGUCGCCCAUCACCGCGGACGUCGUCUCCGGCGCCUCCAAGCGCCUCGGAGACAUCGCCCUUGCCGGAGACGGUCGCCUGCUAUGGAUCGAGGGCCGCCCCGAGGAGAAAGGGCGCAUGGUUAUUGUAAAGGAGGAUGACAAGCCUGUGGAUAUCAUACCUCAGGAAUUUGCAGCACGCACUCUGGCUCAAGAAUAUGGAGGCGGUGCAUUUGCAGUCCAAGAUAAUGUUGUUGUUUUCUCAAACUACAAGGAUCAGCGCCUGUACAAACAAUCAAUCGGAACUGGUAGUCUGCCUGUGCCUCUUACACCCGAUUAUGGUGCACCUGAUGUCAGUUAUGCUGAUGGUGUCUUUGAUCCACACUCCAGCCGUUAUAUUACUGUGAUGGAAGACCGGCGAACGAGUAGCUUGAAUCCUACUACAACAAUUGUGUCUGUAAACUUAAGCAAUGAACCGAAGGUGCUGAUCAGUGGGAAUGACUUCUAUGCUUCUCCUCGAAUUGAUCCAACUAAAAAGAGGAUGGCAUGGAUUGAAUGGGGUCACCCAAACAUGCCAUGGGAUAAAUCAGAACUCUGGGUUGGCUACUUCUCUGAAAGCGGAGACUUGACCGAACGGGUCUGUGUUGCUGGAAGCAAUCCAAUGUUGGUGGAAUCCCCUGCCGAGCCUAAAUGGUCACCAAAAGGAGAACUGUUUUUCGUAACUGACAGAGGGAGUGGAUUCUGGAACAUUUAUAAAUGGGUUGAACACACCAAUGAGGUUGUUCCGAUGUACACAUUAGAUGCUGAGUUCACAAGGCCAUUGUGGGUUUUUGGCAUCAACUCUUACGAUUUUCUAGGAAAAAGCAAUCACAUCGUUUUCACUUACAGGCAGCUCGGAAAAUCAUAUCUUGGUGUUCUAGAUUGUGAUUCAGGUUCUGUUUCGUUGCUCGACAUCCCUUUCUCCAAUUUGUCCAAUGUUGUUACUGGAAAUGAUUACUUCUAUAUCGAAGGUGCAUCUGGAAGCAUCCCUACGUCAAUUGCAAAGGUUACUCUGGAUGAGAACAAAACAAAAGUAAUCAGUUUCUCAAUAGUCUGGUCCUCCUCACCAGAUGUUAUGCAGUAUAGAUCUUUUUUCAGCACCCCAGAAUUUAUCGAGUUCCCGACAUCCAGCCCUGGGCAGAAGGCUUAUGCCUACUUCUACCCACCGUUGAAUCCCAUGUUUGAAGGUUUACCAGAUGAAAAGUCUCCAUUGCUUGUCAAAACACAUGGAGGACCUACAGCUGAAACACGUGGAGUUCUAGACCUCAGUGUCCAAUAUUGGACAAGUCGAGGGUGGGCAUUUCUUGAUGUUAACUACGGAGGAAGCACCGGUUAUGGGAGAGAGUAUCGAGAGAGAUUAUUGAAGAAAUGGGGUAUUGUUGAUGUUGAUGAUUGCUGCAGCUGUGCAAGAUUCCUGGUGGAGAAUGGGAAAGUAGAUGAACAGCGCCUUUGUAUAACUGGGAGAUCGGCAGGCGGAUACACUACUUUAGCUUCACUCGCAUUCAGAGAUACAUUCAAGGCUGGAGCAUCUUUGUAUGGUAUUGGUGAUAUAACUUUGCUGAGGGCAGAGACACACAAAUUUGAGUCCCGUUAUAUGGACAAUCUUGUUGGAAGUGAAGGAGCUUACUAUGAAAGAUCACCAAUCAACUUUGUCAAUAAAUUUACAUGCCCAGUUAUUCUGUUUCAAGGGUUGGAUGAUAAGGUCGUGCCACCAGACCAGGCGCGCAAAAUAUACAAGGCCUUGAAAGAAAGCGGUCUGCCGGUUGCUUUGGUUGAAUACGAAGGGGAGCAGCAUGGGUUCCGCAAGGCCGAAAACAUCAAGUUCACCUUGGAGCAGCAGAUGGUGUUUUUUACUCGAACGGUCGGGAAAUUUGAGGUGGCAGAUGAUAUAACUCCGAUCAAGAUUGAGAACUUUGACUGA
rnacentral:rRNA from 1 species